GCGGAGGAAAAGAAACCAACAGGGAUUACCUCAGUAACGGCGAGUGAAGCGGUAACAGCUCAAAUUUGAAAUCUGGCUCUUUCAGGGUCCGAGUUGUAAUUUGUAGAAGAUGCUUUGGGCGUGGCUCCGGUCUAAGUUCCUUGGAACAGGACGUCAUAGAGGGUGAGAAUCCCGUACGUGACUGGUUGCCUUCGUCCGUGUAAAGCUCUUUCGACGAGUCGAGUUGUUUGGGAAUGCAGCUCAAAAUGGGUGGUAAAUUUCAUCUAAAGCUAAAUAUUGGCCAGAGACCGAUAGCGCACAAGUAGAGUGAUCGAAAGAUGAAAAGCACUUUGGAAAGAGAGUUAAACAGUACGUGAAAUUGUUGAAAGGGAAGCGCUUGCAACCAGACUUGCACGUAGUUGAUCAUCCGAGGUUUUCCCCGGUGCACUCGAUUGCGUUCAGGCCAGCAUCGGUUUGGGUGGCUGGAUAAAGGCCUUGGGAAUGUGGCUCCUCUCGGGGAGUGUUAUAGCCCUCGGUGCAAUGCAGCCUAUCCGGACCGAGGACCGCGCUUCGGCUAGGAUGCU
rnacentral:rRNA from 1 species